rnacentral:rRNA from 1 species
AUUGAACGCUGGCGGCAUGCUUUACACAUGCAAGUCGAACGGUAACAGGCCGCAAGGUGCUGACGAGUGGCGAAGGGGUGAGUAAUGCAUCGGAACGUGCCCAGUCGUGGGGGAUAACGAAGCGAAAGCUGAGCUAAUACCGCAUACGAUCUAUGGAUGAAAGCGGGGGACCGUAAGGCCUCGCGCGAUUUGAGCGGCCGAUGUCAGAUUAGGUAGGUGGUGGGGUAAAGGCUCACCAAGCCAACGAUCUGUAGCUGGUCUGGGAGGACGACCAAGCAAACUGGGACUGAGACACGGCCCAGACUCCUACGGGAGGCAGCAGUGGGGAAUUUUGGACAAUGGGCGCAAGCCUGAUCCAGCAAUGCCGCGUGCAGGAAGAAGGCCUUCGGGUUGUAAACUGCUUUUGUACGGAACGAAACGGCUCUGGUUAAUACCUGGGGCUAAUGACGGUACCGUAAGAAUAAGCGCCGGCUAACUACGUGCCAGCCGCCGCGGUAA